UACGUAGGGCGCAAGCGUUGUCCGGAAUUAUUGGGCGUAAAGAGCUCGUAGGCGGUUUAUCACGUCGGCUGUGAAAUCCCGAGGCUUAACCUCGGGCCUGCAGUCGAUACGGGUUGACUAGAGUGAAGCAGGGGAGACUGGAAUUCCUGGUGUAGCGGUGAAAUGCGCAGAUAUCAGGAGGAACACCGGUGGCGAAGGCGGGUCUCUGGGCUUUAACUGACGCUGAGGAGCGAAAGCGUGGGUAGCAAACAGG
rnacentral:rRNA from 1 species